GAAUGUUUAGACUUGGGGCAGAGGUAACAGAAGAGAUGGUAGAGGAAUAUUUAGACUUGGAUAUAGGUAACAGAGGAGAUGAUAGAGGAAUAUUUAGACUUUGGGUAGAGGUAACAGAGGAGAAGGUAGAGGAAUAUUUAGACUUGGGGUAGAGGUAACAGAGGAGAUGAUAGAGGAAUAUUUAGACUUGGGGUAGAGGUAACAGAAGAGAUGGUAGAGGAAUGUUUAGACUUGAGGUAGAGGUAACAGAGGAGAUGGUAGAGGAAUAUUUAGACUUAGGGUAGAGGUGACAGGAGAUGUUAGAGGAAUAUUUAGACUUUGGGUAGAGGUAACAGAGGAGAAGGUAGAGGAAUAUUUAGACUUGGGGCAGAGGUAACAGAGGAGAAGGUAGAGGAAUGUUUAGACUUGGGGCAGAGGUAACAGAGGAGAUGAUAGAGGAAUAUUUAGACUUGGGGCAGAGGUAACAGAGGAGAUGGUAGAGGAAUAUUUAGACUUGGGGUAA
rnacentral:lncRNA from 1 species